rnacentral:rRNA from 1 species
AUACGGAGGGUGCAAGCGUUAUCCGGAUUUAUUAGGUUUAAAGGGUCCGUAGGCGGACUAUUAAGUCAGAGGUGAAAUCCCACAGCUCAACUGUGGAACUGCCUUUGAUACUGGUAGUCUUGAGUUAUAUGGAAGUAGAUAGAAUGUGUAGUGUAGCGGUGAAAUGCAUAGAUAUUACACAGAAUACCGAUUGCGAAGGCAGUCUACUACGUAUAUACUGACGCUAAGGGACGAAAGCGUGUGGAGCGAACAGGAUUAGAAACCCCAGUAGUCC